UAACCGGCCCUUUUCAGGGCCACCAAACUGUUAAACGUUGGGGCUA
rfam:Trichomalopsis sarcophagae strain Alberta scaffold21740, whole genome shotgun sequence.